rnacentral:lncRNA from 1 species
GCCUGCUGUGCUUGUCCUGCUGUUUGCUGGGCAUUACAAGGAACCAAGACAACACGGGAUCUGGAGACAGAAAUUUCCUCCUCUUUUAGCUAGAGUGCUUCACCACUAUUACUUCUCUCCUGCAAACAGCUGAACCAUGGGACAGAAAUUGCUGAAGCCACCUAACACAGAGAUGUUACAGGAGCCUCAAACUGAUGUUGAACAGUAGGCAAGGUGCCGCCCUUUUCUCCUAUUAUUGCAAUGCAGACAGACAGUCAGUGUCUGCUAUCCAGACGGAGAGGAGGUUCCCAGCACACAGUUCCAUGCAACAAAAGGCUCUCCUAAAUACGAGGGCAAAUUUAGCAGGAAGAGGACUGGGUUCAGCAAUAGGCAGCAUUAAAUCCUAG